rnacentral:rRNA from 1 species
UACGUAGGCAGCGAGCGUUGUUCGGAGUUACUGGGCGUAAAGGGUGUGUAGGCGGUUGUUUAAGUUUGGCGUGAAAUCUCCCGGCUCAACUGGGAGGGUGCGCCGAAUACUGAAUGACUUCGAGUGCGGGAGAGGAGAGUGGAAUUCCUGGUGUAGCGGUGAAAUGCGUAGAUAUCAGGAGGAACACCGGUGGUGUAGACGGCUCUCUGGACCGUAACUGACGCUGAGACACGAAAGCGUGGGUAGCAAACAGG